UCGAGAAUUUUUCACAAUGGGGGAAACCCUGAUGGAGCGACGCCGCGUGGGGGAUGACGGCCUUCGGGUUGUAAACUCCUUUCGGCAGGGACGAAGCGCAAGUGACGGUACCUGUAUAAGAAGCACCGGCUAACUAGGUGCCAGCAGCCGCGGCAAUACGUAGGGUGCGGGCGUAGUCCGGAAUUACUGGGCGUAAAGAGCUCGUAGGCGGGUUGUUGCGUCUGCGGUGAAAAUGCGAGGCUCGACCUC
rnacentral:rRNA from 1 species